GCGCAGAUGUCCCUCCAGGUGUAAUCCAGCCUCAGUGCGACUUGUACCCGCUGCCUGGCUGCCCAAAGAACUUUGAGCCUGUGUGUGGCACAGAUGGCCAGACCUACAGCAACGAGUGCUUGGUGUGUGUGGAGAACCUACACAGGCAGGAUCCGAUCUUCAUUGUCAAACGGGACAUAUGCUGAAUCCAUGGACGGACACCUGGGGGUCUGCUGAUCUUCACAAGCUCCUCUUUGCCACAACCACAGGCCCCUGCGUCCUCUCAAAUCUCAAAUAAACAUUUAC